rnacentral:misc_RNA from 1 species
GAUGAAGAACGUAGCGAAAUGCGAUAAGUAGUGUGAAUUGCAGAAUUCAGUGAAUCAUCGAAUCUUUGAACGCACAUUGCGCCCUUUGGUAUUCCAAAGGGCAUGCCUGUUCGAGCGUCAUUUGUACCCUCAAGCUUUGCUUGGUGUUGGGCGUCUUUCUCUAGCUUUGCUGGAGACUCGCCUUAAAGUAAUUGGCAGCCGGCCUACUGGUUUCGGAGCGCAGCACAAGUCGCACUCUCUAUCAGCAAAGGUCUAGCAUCCAUUAAGCCUUUUUUUCAACUUUUGACCUCGGAUCAGGUAGGGAUACCCGCUGAACUUAAGCAUAUCAAUAAGCGGAGGA